AUCAUUUGACCACAUGCAUGAAAAUUUAAUUUAUAGGCUGUGUAUUCUAUUCAACUGGUCUAUUUGUUUUUGUGCUAGUACCACACUACUUUGAUUAUCAUAGAUUUGUAAUAUGUUUUGAAAUCAGGAAAUGUAAGUCUUCCAACUUUGUUCUUUUUCAAAAUUGUUUUGACUAUUCGGAGUCCUUUGAUAUACCAAAUGAAUUUCAGGAUACAUUUUUCUAUUUCUCCAAAAGAUCCCAUAAGGAUUUUGAUAAGGAUUGCAUUGACUCUGUAGGUCACUUCGGACAUUAUGAACAAUGUAACAAUAUUAAGUUAUCUAAUCCAUGAACACAGGAUAUCUUUCAUUUAUUAGUGUCUGCUUUAAUUUCAUUCAGCAACGUUUUAUGGUUUGCAGUGUACAAGCUUCUCAUCUCCUUGGUUAGGUUUAUUCCUAAGCUUUUUAUUGUUUUGAGUGAAAUUGUAAAUGGAUUUGUUUUCUUAAUUUCCUUUUUGGAUUGUUCAUUAUUCAUGUAUAGAAAUGCAACUGAUUUCUGUGUGUUGGUUUUGUACCUUGCAACUUUGCGUUUCUUUAAAUGUGGUCCAUGAACCACCUGAAAUAAUUUUUAGCACAUUCUCCAUUCUAGCUAACUGUACUUUGGGAAGAAAAAGGGGUUUAUGUGGCAAGAAUCUGCAUUAUUAACAAGUUUUCAAGUUAUUCUCAUAUAUACUGUAGUUUGAGAUCUUUAUAUGCACUAAAGCCUUAUAUACUAAAGCUUGAGAAU
rnacentral:lncRNA from 1 species